GGCAAUAAAGACAGAAAGAAUUCACAGAGCGAACAGUGACAUCAAUAUGUGGGCUAAGUGCCGGUGACUGUCUGAUGUACGACUCUUGUAAACUCAGCCAAGCAAUCUGUUCAAAAGAUGUCUUUUGAUGUGGAAGCGCAUUGAGCGAGUCAAACAACAGCCCUUUUUUGUGUCCGGCAUUAUCCUCCUGUGCCAAAAUUUGUAGCUUCGCGCUCGUGUCUAGCAUAACAGAGACAUUGUGGUGAUGUGAACAGUAUACUUUCACAGCUACAGACGAGUUAGUGGGUGGUCUUAGGCGAGCUUGUACAAUGAGGCUGAACUCGGCAGCAGCAGCUAUGGAGACAACUCUCUUACACAAACACAGAGCUCUACCUGUGAAAAAGACAACAACGUGCGACAACCAGGAUAAACUGCCAUCUGGCUGCUGAUACACCAAAGUGACAAGACAACAGUAAGGUGUCCUGUAGUAAGUACAAAGACAGGAUGAAGGUAAAGGCAUGAAGAAUAAAAGGUGCUGGUUCGUUUUAUAGAAACCCUCCAUGACAUAAUACCCAGCUUCACGUCACAAUGCCUGACACCAGUAUCAUAAAUGUGUGUGAUCAGGUAUCAGCGAGUACGCUUGUCUGCACUGAUCGGAUAUCAUGUCAUUUAUUAGUGCCAAAACAGAGCCUUGAUCCUUUCAUGACAGUCAUCAUAGAGGUUAGGGUUAGGGUAUUUAGGGUCAUACACCGGUUCAAACGGUUACACCCAGUGUUGGACAUUAUACAGAGUUCAGGUAUCGUACUUGGGAAGGAUAAAACAUCCUCUGCCUGUGCCAACACAGAAGACAGUGUUUACUAGUUAUGGCUGAAAUGGGUAGGAUUUCAGUACAUAGGUAUGUGACAGAAAGAGAUGGCGUCCUCAUUCUACCUUCACUGUUUCUAUGCACGUUUUAAAGUAGGGCUUAGCAGAGUUAACUUCAGGUCCAUCAAAAAGCCCUGCAUCUCUUAACAAACAGAGGCCCACUGCUAAGAGCUUACAUGGCAGAGGUUCUCAGGUAUUCUCCUAGUGUAUGCUGUAUUGUUAUGAAGACCAGACAGGUAAAGGGAUCUCAAGUAGCUUUUUGGAAGUAGGUAACCUUGUUUUUACACCCAGGCAAACUUUUUCUUCUAACUAUAAAAAGGUGCUGGGGUUCUGUUAAUUGUUCUACUCUUUGCUCAGCCUGGCGUAAUUCUUUGCAAUUGCAACCACUAACAGGAAAGGAUGGUGUAUGUGUGUUGGUUCCUAAAAAGCCAUUCUGAACUUAAAAUCUGCACCUCUGGCCACCACCACGUUUGUAGUCCAGCGUGUAGUCCUGGAGACUGACUCGUUCUGUGGCCAGCCUCAAGUGGACAUUUGAGGAACUGCAGUUUGUCUGCAUUAACGUCACUUCACAGCCACGGACGUCGCUGUCUGCUGCCAACCAGUUCAUGCAGCUACACCAGAGAAGCUGGAAACAUACAGAACUGCUGUGAAUCAUCUGAUAUCUAAUUGCUGGUUUUAACCAAACACAUGACCACAGGUGUCACUACAUGGUUCUUAAGCUUUGCACACUCCUGUGCCCUGAGCCAAUGUGUUGGAGGGUUGGGAAAAGUACAGACACCUAUUCAAAGCGAAACUACAUUCCAGGGCACCUAAAGUAAAAUAAAGGAUCUACAAUCACAGCGAUGCUAUCCACUAUCCAUGAACUAUCAAACUGUACUUUGAUCUACUGACAACCACACACCGCUCUGCUGCAGAGAUAAACAUACAGAGAUGUUAUCCGGUACAAACACAACGUUUAUUUUAUUUAAUAGCAAAGACACACCUGGUUGGUUGAAUCGGCUACGGCAUUAACAACAAUCGGCUCGCCCGCUGCUGUAAAAACCAAACCACAACGUAAAGUUUGUUUUUUUUGUUUCUUUGUGUAACCUCCCCCCAAAAAACAAACUGCUGUUUAAUACAGAGAGAGGAACAGAGAGACGGGCCAGCUGCUGUGUACAGUAAGAGACAGAGGUGUCUGUGUGUGUGUAGGUGUGUGUGUGUGUGUGUGUUUGUGUGAAAGAGAAAUGAAAGCAAGAUGAACAGCUGAAAGUAGUUUGUGAGUAAAAACAAAAGUUGGUGGCAUAAGAAAUAACCUUGUUGAAAUAUGGAAAUAUAUGAUUGAAAGUGUCAUUCUGGGAAACACUGCACUUCUCUGUGUGUACUUUGUUUAUUCUUUAAAAAAAAAAAAAAAAGAGAUUGUAUCCAAGUUUUGAAUUCUUGUACUGCACUCGAGAGCAUGCUGAUCAUUCCACAGUGACAUGAAUUAGGUCUGCAGCAGUUCACUCUUUAACAGACUGAGAGUGUGAAGAUAAAUGUAAGACAAUAAAAUGAUUGAGAAGAUUUGCCUCAAUGUGGCUGACUAAUUGACUUCCUCACUAACUCCAGUAUAUCAUGUAACUACCACACGAUUACAAGGACCACAACCAGCGUGCACCGUGCCCAAUGCUACGCUCUGCUUCAUGUACACGUAGUACCACGUACAGUCGGAUGAAGGCCGUUACAAGAAAACUCAAACCUUAGUUAAAGCAGCUGCAGGCAGGCCUUACCUAUGAACCCUAUCAUGCUGAACCUAAAGAAAAUACCUCAAGUGUGUUAUUUACAUUUUGAUUCUAACAAACGUGUGGGCUGCUCAGGUUUCCUCUAACGCUUCUUUUCUUUUUUUUAAUAUGUAUUCUGUCUCUCUUAAUUCUUUGGUUUAGGUUGGUUUGGUAACGUGUCUGAAAAUAGUGUGAAAUGACCAGAUCUUAGAGAGACAUCUCCAAAUGUCUUGUUGUGUCUGACCAAAAGGACGAAAUCUAAAGAUGGUCUAGACUAAACAAAAAUUUCAGAUGCUGUAACAGCAUCUGGCUUCUGAAAUCUUUGUUUAGUCUAGACCAUCUUUAUGUUUUCGUCCUUUUCUACAUUUUGAGUUAAAAAAGUUUUUUUCACAGCAGCCAUUUUGUCAUGCAACAGUUAACACAGGUGUGACCAAUGACACUAGUUAAGGAAGCGAGCCUUACUUAGUCUCAAACAGUCACACCUGUGUUUUAGAACUGUGAUGUGACUGAUGUGUUUGUCUACAUCCUCUCCACCUGUCACCUGCUGGGUGGGGUAGGGUGGGGUAAUUAAGUAGUAAGUAGUAAGCAAGUCAUUUUUUAAUUAAAUAAAUUGAUUUAGAAACAUGUAAUACUACUACUACUAAUAUAAUACUACAAGAACAUGAAGGAAAAUAUGUCUCCAUGGUGACGUCACGUUCAUGCAGUAGCUUGUAGCGCACACACAUCCAGGAUUAGUGAUGAGCUGAAAGGUGACAGGGAGAUGAAGGUGGAGCUGAAACCAGCAGCUCUGGUUCUUGAAUUGACUCCAUUCAGUCAGCAAUAAAACAUCUUCCUAAUAAGAACAAACCUUCCUCCUGUGUGACCCGUCUUGUAUUUCCACGUCUGUUAUACUUGUGGUACUUGGACAGUGGUUUGAAUCCAUUGGCCGGGGCCAGCCGGGAUCACACUUGUUGAGACUUGGACGUGCAGCUGGGGCUCAAUCCAGGGGUCACAAUGAAAGCCUUACAGCCUACAGUGACAUGACGGAUGGAAGCCGAAUGGAGGCAGAGCUCAGAGAUGAUCGAAGGCAGAAAGGUGC